rnacentral:sRNA from 1 species
AGACCGGGGAAGCGUUGGGCUGCAAAGACUAGGGCGCCAGCGGCUGGCGAAGAAGGAAAGAGGGGAGUCUCUGGCUGGGCUGGGGCCGUAGCGACGUCCGCCGCGAACCUGGGCCCCCCAGAGCUGCGGGGCGUUCGGUGUCGCCGAAGUAAACAUGCACCCUGAGCCCUCGGAGCCUGCGGCAGGUGGUGCAGCAGAGCUGGAUUGCGCGCAGGAGCCCGGCGUGGAGGAGUCUGCCGGUGACCACGGUAGCACAGUCCGAAGGGGCUGCAAGGAAGAAAUUAAUGAUCCUAAGGAAAUACGUGUGGGUUCUUCUGACACAUCCUACCAAAGCCAGCAGAAACAGAGUGGUGAUAAUGGGUCAGGUGGUCACUUUGCAUACCCAAGAGAAGACAGGGAAGAUCGGGGCCCCAGAAUGACUAAAAGUUCCCUGCAAAACCUCUGCAAGCAGCACAAGCUUUAUAUUACCCCAGCAUUGAAUGAUACGCUGUAUUUACACUUUAAAGGUUUUGAUCGCAUUGAGAACCUGGAAGAGUACACAGGGCUGCGCUGUCUCUGGCUGCAGAGCAAUGGAAUACAGAAAAUCGAAAACCUGGAGGCCCAAACUGAGUUGCGUUGCCUCUUCUUGCAAAUGAACUUGCUCCAUAAAAUUGAGAACCUGGAACCUCUGCAGAAACUGGAUGCUCUUAACCUCAGCAACAAUUACAUCAAGACCAUUGAAAACCUCUCCUGCCUCCCAGUCCUGAACACAUUGCAGAUGGCCCACAAUCACCUGGAGACCGUGGAGGACAUUCAGCAUCUACAAGAGUGUUUGAGGCUUUGUGUCCUUGACCUUUCGCACAACAAGCUGAGCGACCCAGAGAUCCUGAGCAUUCUGGAAAGCAUGCCCGAUUUGCGUGUACUGAAUUUGAUGGGAAACCCGGUUAUCAGACACAUUCCUAAUUACAGAAGGACAGUCACUGUACGACUAAAGCACUUAACAUACCUGGAUGAUAGACCAGUGUUUCCAAAGGACAGAGCUUGUGCGGAGGCCUGGGCUAGGGGAGGGUACGCAGCUGAAAAGGAGGAGAGACAGCAGUGGGAGAGCAGGGAGCGGAAGAAGGUCACGGACAGCAUUGAAGCCUUGGCCGUGAUCAAGCGGCGGGCGGAGGAGAGGAAAGGACAGAGAGAGAGCCAAGAGAGAGGGGAGACGACAUCUUCAGACGAUGGUGAGAAUGUCCCCGCCAGUGCGGAAGGCAAGGAGGAGCCUCCGCGGGACAGAGAAACAAGGGAGAAGAUGGAGCUGUUUGUUAAGGAAAGCUUUGAGGCCAAGGACGAGCUCUGCCCGGAAAAGCCAAGUGGAGGAGAGGAGCCACCUGUGGAGGUUAAAGGAGAAGAUGGAGGUGGAGAGCCAGAGGGGACCCUCCCAGCUGAGGCCCUGCCACCCCCACCACCUGUGGAGGUUAAAGGAGAGGAUGGAGGUGGAGAGCCAGAGGGGACCCUCCCAGCUGAGGCCCUGCCACCCCCACCACCUGUGGAGGUUAAAGGAGAGGAUGGAGGUGGAGAGCCAGAGGGGACCCUCCCAGCUGAGACCCCGCUACUGUCACUGCCUGUGGAGGUUAAAGGAGAGGAUGGAGAUGAAGAGCCAGAGGGGACCCUCCCAGUUGAGGCCCAGCCACCGCUGCCCCUGGGAGCUGCCAGGGAAGAGCCGACUCCCCAGGCUGUGGCCACUGAGGGUGUAUUCGUUACAGAACUUGAUGGAAUGAGAACGGAAGAUUUAGAAACCAUUAGACUGGAGACAAAGGAGACAUUCUGCAUUGAUGUAUGUGAAAUAUUUAAUCUUGGAGAUAAGUAUCAGUUUUACUGUUAGUAAAAUAGGUAAUCAGAUGCAAACUUUGGAGACCCUCGAUACCCCAGGUGUGGUCCUUGGGCCGGCAGGCCUGGCAUUGCUGGGGCGCUGGUUAGAAAUGCAGACUCCCAGGCCUCACCCCAGGCCCACUGAUCAGAAUCCAACUUUAACGCACUGCCCUAGGUGAGUCGUGCACAUGCAUGCUCAAGUUUGGGGAGCCCUGACCCAAAUCGCUACCCUUGAACCAUGUCUACCAAACUCUUGAUUCCUUUUUGCCAAAGAAGCUAUCUUGCUAAGCAGUUCUGACUAGUUGCCUUAUCCAAAUUCGUGGUGAGAGUUACAUUGUAUCAUCAGUUACAUUGUAUCUUUAUACAUUGUAUCUUUUCCCUCCUCCUUGGAUACCGCCCAGCAGGUAGCUUAGCUCUCACUGGCCUUCUGGCUCAUGGAGGUGUGACGGUUCAGUGUCCCAUUCCCUUGAGUGAGUGUUUGAUCGCAGCCUUGCCUGUCACUCUUCCCUGAAGCUCUUCCCAUUUUGAUGACAGUCUCAAAUGCUUAGGCCCACAAGAAUGGUACCAUGGGAAUUCACACAUUGUGUCACAACCCUCCAAGAACUGUCUUUUGAUGGGGCACGAAUAGGAGAGGCAUUGCUGGGUACCUCUGACCUCAUACCUUGGAGAGGUGGCCCCCUGCCCACUUCCUUGUUAAACUUCUAAACUGGUGUUUCUAAUGUCCAAACUUAGAAUUUCACAUGGCCCAGUAAGAGUUAAAGUGAUAGGCCGGGCACGGUGGCUUACGCCUGUAAUCCCAGCACUUUGGGAGGCCGAGGUGGGUGGAUCACGAGGUCAAGAGAUCAAGACCAUCCUGGCUAACACGCUGAAAACCCGUCUCUACUAAAAAUAGAAAAAAAUUAGCCGGGCGUGGUGAUGGGCGCCUGUAGUCCCAGCUACUCGGAAGGCUGAGGCAGGAGAAUGGCAGGAACCUGGGAGGUGGAGCUUGCAGUGAGCUGAGAUAACUCCACUGUACUCCAACCUGGGCGACAGAGUGAGACUCCGUCUCAAAAAAAAAAAAAAAAAAGAGUUAAAGUGAUCACAAUCAGAAUUCAUAGUGGGUUUUCUAGUUUUCUGGAGCUAUGUAAAAGAAGAAACAAAGGCCAGGUGUGGUGGCUCACACCUGUAAUCCCAGCACUUUGGGAGGCCAAGGUGGGUGGAUCACAUGAAGACAGGAGUUCGAGACCAGCCUGGCCAACAUGAUGAAACCCCAUCUCUACUAAAAAUACAAAAAAAUAAAAAAUAAAAAAAUAAAAUUAGCCGGGCGUGGUGGCAGGUGCCUGUAAUCCCAGCUACUUGGGAGGCUGAGGCAGGAGAACUGCUUGAACCCGGGAGGCAGAGGUUGCUAUGAGCCAAGAUCUCACCACUGCACUCCAGCCUGGGCAACACAGCGAGACUCUGUCUCAAAAAAAAGAAAAAGAAAGAAACAUAAUUGGGCAAUUUAUCUCUCACAUUUGAGAACUGACCAUAUAGAUAACUACAACACUAAUAGCUAAUAUUAAUUGGUUUCUUAUUAUAUGCGUGACACCAUUCUAAGCGUGACUUGUAUUGAUUGAUGUAACCCUUCCUACAACUCUAAGCGGCACAUACUAUUAUCAUCCCAAUUUCCCAGAUGAGGAAAAUGAGAAACAGAGAGGUUAGGCAACUUGCCCAAAGCCACACAGCUAGAAAAUGGUGGUGGGGGAGUAACAACCCAGGCACCGUGGCUCCAGUUCAUGCAUCCAACCACACACUACGCUGCCUCCCCAACCACGCGCUAUGCUGCCUCCCCAACCACGCACUGGUUGUUAUGGACAAAGAUACCAAACAAACACCCACAGUACAAAACAAUAAAGUCCUACCAGUUUUGGGGAGGUACAAAAUAUAUUACUUUUAUACCACAUAGAGUUUUCAGACUAGUUUGUACAGAGGUGCAUUUGGUUUGGGUCCCAUUAUUUCCCUCAAGAUGAACUGGCUGUGUCUCUUAAUAAAAAAGCAGAAAAAAGAUGUGGAAAUUCUUUAAACACGUCACACCUUGCAAGUUCCCUUUCAUUUAUUAGAUCUAGACACCUGAGGUGGCAACGCUUGCUUUGUGUGUAUCUAGAGUUCCUUUUGGUGGGGAACAAGCAGGGGAGUCACCUGAGUGAUUUGAGUAACUGUAACUAAGGCUGGGUUGACUGCGUGUUUGCCUUUAUCGUGCCUAUCAGAACGUUGACAGCGCGUGUGCCUCCCUGGUGAUGUGCGGCUCGCUUGCUCUUGCAGGACCUACCUGACUUGGAAGAUGACGAUGAAACAGGCAAAUCUCUGGAAGACCAGGUUAAGAAUAUAUGCUUUCCGAAGAUUGAGGUCAUCUCGAGCUUGAGUGAUGACAGUGACCCUGAACUGGACUACACGUCACUCCCUGUGCUGGAAAACCUGCCCACAGACACUCUGUCAAAUAUAUUUGCAGUCUCUAAAGACACCUCAAAGGUGGCUCGGGUGCCCUUCACAGACAUCUUUAAAAAAGAAGCUAAGAGGGACUUGGAAAUCCGAAAACAAGACACCAAGUCCCCAAGACCCCUGAUCCAGGAGCUCAGCGACGAGGACCCCUCUGGCCAGCCACUGAUGCCCCCCACCUGCCAAAGAGAUGCUGCACCAGUCACUUCCAGUGGAGACGGGGACAGCGACUUCCUUGCAGCCUCUUCUCCGGUGCCGACUGAGCGCACCACCACACCCUCAGAGACGUGUGUCGGAGUUGCCCAGCCCAGCCCAGCUCUGCCCACGUGGGACCUUGCUGCAUUCCCAGCACCGAAAGCAUCAUAGUUUUCCCCAGUUAUAUGUAGCAUAAAUGGUUUAGUUAUAAAUGUCUCCUUUAGGCAUGAUAAACAUUUGAACACCCA